rnacentral:tRNA from 1 species
GCUCCUGUGGUGUAGUCCGGUCAAGCAUGUCGCCCUUUCAAGGCGGAGAUCCCGGGUCCAAAUUCUAUGUGAUGGAAAUCCCGGCGGGAGCA